UGGCGGAUCGUCUAAUGGUAGGACAGUGGUCUCUGACACCACUAAUCUAGGUUCGAAUCCUAGUCCGCCAGCCA
rnacentral:tRNA from 1 species